GCGCGGGUGGCGGAAUUGGUAGACGCACAGCCUUGAGGUGGCUGCGAGAUUAUUCUCGUGGAGGUUCGAGUCCUCUCCCGCGCA
rnacentral:tRNA from 1 species